CCUACGGGUGGCAGCAGUGAGGAAUAUUGGUCAAUGGCCGCAGGGCUGAACCAGCCAAGUCGCGUGAGGGAUGACGGUCCUAUGGAUUGUAAACCUCUUUUGUCAGGGAGCAAAGGGCGCCACGUGUGGCGUUUUGCGAGCACCGGAAGAAAAAGUAUCGGCUGCCUCCGUGCUAGCAGCCGCGGUAAUACGGGGGAUGCGAGCGUUAGUCGGAUAUAUUGGGUGGAGAGGGUGCGCGGGGUGGAUGUCAAGUGUGCGGUAAAAUUUCGGGGCACAACCCCGUCGUGCCGUGUAAACUGGCAUUCUUGAGUGAACGAGGAGUAUGCGGAAUGCGUGGUGUAGCGGUGGAAUGCAUAGAUAUCACGCAGAACUCCGAUUGCGAAGGCAGCAUACCGGCGCUCAACUGACGCUCAUGCACGAAAGCGUGGGUAUCGAACAGGAUUAGAUACCCCAGUAGUC
rnacentral:rRNA from 1 species